rnacentral:rRNA from 1 species
GACGAACGCUGGCGGCGUGCUUAACACAUGCAAGUCGAACGGAAAGGCCCUGCUUUUGUGGGGUUCUCGAGUGGCGAACGGGUGAGUAACACGUGAGUAACCUGCCCUUGACUUUGGGAUAACUUCAGAAAACUGGGGCUAAUACCGGACAGGAUCUCCUGCUGCAUGGUGGGGGUUGGAAAGUUUCGGCGGUUGGGGAUGGACUCGCGGCUUAUCAGCUUGUUGGUGGGGUAGUGGCUGACCAAGGCUUUGACGGGUAGCCGGCCCGAGAGGGUGACCGGGGACAAUGGGACUGAGGGAGGGCCCAGACGCGUACGGGAGGCAGCGGGGGGAAAUAUUGCACAAUGGGCGGAAGCCUGAGGCGGCGGCGCCGCGUGCGGGAUGACGGCCUUCGGGUUGUGAACCGCUUUCGCCUGUGACGAAGCGGGAGUGACGGUAAUGGAUAAAGAAGCACCGGCUAACUACGUG